UCGAUUGAAUUCACUGAAAGUAGAAGAUGGCAAGCUUUUUUACUUAGACCCUCGAGUUAUCAACUUUGCAUCUUCAUAUCUGUGAAGUAUAAAGCUCGUUAAUGUUAUUUUAGUCACAAGUUUCUUUGAUCAGCUCAGCACCGAAUGCCCAUCUUUGGAAAAUCUGCAGUUGGCAGACAGCACUCCUGAUUUUCCUGAGAUUUCAUCAGUCAUUGAAGACUCUGGAAAUAAUAAACUGCUUAGUUAUAAAUCUUCUGAUUUGUAUUUGCAAACUGCUUAGUUAUAAAUGCUUCAAGGACACUUGUUGCGGGUGCACACCCUAAAUAGUUCGAACUACAUCAACAGUAAUGUUAUCUUUCAAAUGCCAAGAGCGUAGAAUUUUCAGGUCAAGUGAGGCAGGUAUGGGUGCUUCUUAAUCUCUUUACAUGUCUGAAAUAUUUAUUUCUUUAAAACUUGUGCUUAUUUUGAUUUACAUAUGUGAAGGAGAAUGGUGUUUGUCCAAUAAUUUUUCUCAUUUAGCUUGCUUCUUCGAGCACUCUCCUAUGCUUUAAAUUCUUGAUCUGAAGCUCAAGUAUGACUGAAGAUCAAAAGCAGCCAAUUUACACGGCUAAGGGAAUAUCAUUUGAUGCCAGCCACCUGGCAGUGAUCCACUGCACGGAAAAAGAGGACAUGCUUCCUGUGUUGAAGGCUAUACUGCUUGCUGAUGCAAGAUCUCUCGAGCAUAUCGGUGUCAGGACAGACUAGACUGUUCCUGGUUUCCAAUAGGAAGAUGAGCUCAUCGUUCUUCUACAUAUGGAAUGCAUCUUAGCGCUCUGGACAUGUGAGACUUAAUCUAGCUAGACAUUUGGUUGUUGAACGUUGUACUGAAUCCUGCCCUCAGGGCUACAUGGACCUGUUAGAAUGUACUACUACUCCCUUUGUUCCUAAAUAUAAGUUUUUUUUAGAGAUUUCAA